rnacentral:pre_miRNA from 1 species
CUUGUACUCCCUCCGUCCGGAAAUAUUUGUCGGAGGAAUGGAUGUAUCUAGACGUAUUUUAGUUCUAGAUACAUCCAUUUUUAUGCAUUUCUUCGACAAGUAUUUCCGGACGGAGGGAGUACGUA